rnacentral:rRNA from 2 species
AACGCUGGCGGCGUGCGUAACACAUGCAAGUCGAACGAGAAUGUACUGACAGAUCCUUAGGGUGAAGAUAGUACAGGACAGUGGCGGAUGGGUGAGUAACGCGUAAGAAACCUGCCUUUCACACCGGGAUAGCAGCUGGAAACGGCUAUUAAUACCGGAUGAUACUUUUUCCCCGCAUGAGGAAGAGGUUAAAGAAUUUCGGUGAAAGAUGGUCUUGCGUCUGAUUAGCUAGUUGGUGGGGUAACGGCCUACCAAGGCGACGAUCAGUAGCCGGCCUGAGAGGGUGUACGGCCACAUUGGGACUGAGACACGGCCCAAACUCCUACGGGAGGCACCAGUGGGGAAUUUUGCACAAUGGAGGAAACUCUGAUGCAGCGACGCCGCGUGAACGAAGAAGGUCUUCGGAUUGUAAAGUUCUGUCCUGGGUGAAGAUAAUGACGGUA